CUAAAGAAACAGGCUCUAGGGGAAAUCUUUUCUAAUAAUGCCCUAGAGCUGGGUUAUUUCCUAGCCUGGCCCCCAAAUGUCUUUGACGGCAACGUGGCUACAGGGUAGAAUGUGGCUGACCACAACCAUCCUGCAGCAUGGUCCUGGCAUAGGCUCACCCGAGGACACUGCGGGGCAAGAGUGCACAGCGCUGGAGUCAAACAGCCGAGGAAAGGAACCCCAGCUGAACCACUUUCUGGCUGUGGCCAAAUUAAGAUCUAUAAGUGGAAGUUAAUGCUACCCAGACCGUUGCCUUGACAAAUCAGAGGAAAAAAUAUGCAAAGGCUCUGCCUGAUAUGAAGUGCUCGGAAAAUGCUAUCUGUGGUCACUAAUUACCUAAGGGAAGGCUACGGAAACUAGCAGGAAGCCGAAGACUCGGGGCGGAGAAGGAACCGAAAUAGCCCGGGCGGCUCCGCCCACAGUGAGAGCAUCCGCUCCGCGAGGCGGGAAGAGGCCCCACUGCCCUCGGGCCGGAGCCGCCUGGUGGGGAGGGGGUGUCACGCUUCAGAAAAGGGCGAGGACUGGCCCCGACCUUCAGCUGAGGAAGGAAACAAUGAAGCCACGUAACAAAAGUUCAAGGCCAAACGUAGCGCCCGCCCAGCGCUGGACCGCGGCUUCCUCUCCGCCGGCUCCGGGGAGUCACCUGACCUCGCUUUAGCAGUCGCGGACGCCGAAAGGGUCCUGCAGCACUUCUCGCAGCCAAUCGGCGGCGUCCCUGCCCCUCGCAGCCAAUCAGUGGCGUCCCUGCCCUCGCAGCCAAUCAAUGGCGGCCCGGCCUUCCUAGCCAAUCUGGUCCUCCGCCCGCCGGCCUCUCGCGCGUGAGGAGGGAAAGCCCGGCUUCCGAAGACCCCUGGAAAAAGACGCGUUGAGCGUGCAAAAAACGACUUUGUUUCCACUGGGCCAGGUAUAUUCUGAAGCCUGCAGAGCGUCCAUCAGGGACUGCCCAGGCCCGGGAAGAGCGCGCCUUCUCUUUGUUACAGAACUAGCCACCCGCAACCCCGCGGACCCCUAGGAGACUGCCCUUGCAGCUCGCAGCCGACCAGCUGUUGGAACGUGUCUCAUAUGGGAAGAAAUGCUUGCAGUUUCAAAGGUCCAGCCCACGGGCUCAGACGCUGCCGCACAGCUCAGAACUCUGAAACUCUUGAUUCUACCCUGCUGUGUGCCUGGGAUUUGACCUGCCUCUCAUAUGGAGAGAAGCUACCUGAGUGCAGGAAAUAGCCUUGACUGUAGCCUCAGCCUCUAGCUGGAAUGCCCAGGUCCAGCUCCCAGGAUGCCAGUGUUCCCUAAGAACUCCGUUUCAGAACCACUGAACUAGAAUUUGGAGUUUAAAAGUAAGUCCAGAGGGGAAACUGGAGACAGCUAUAAAAGUUUGACCUUUAAUAAUUAUGAUGAUAAUAAAACAGCUGUUGUUUA